UGCCAGCCGCCGCGGUAACACGGAGGGUGCAAGCGUUGUCCGGAUUUAUUGGGUUUAAAGGGUGCGUAGGCGGUCUGUUAAGUCAGUGGUGAAAUCCCUCAGCUCAACUGAGGAACUGCCAUUGAUACUGAUAGACUUGAGUACGGACGAGGUAGGCGGAAUUUAUGGUGUAGCGGUGAAAUGCAUAGAUACCAUAAAGAACACCGAUAGCGAAGGCAGCUUACUAGACUUGAAUUGACGCUGAGGUACGAAAGCGUGGGGAGCGAACAGGAUUAGAUA
rnacentral:rRNA from 1 species